GCAUUGGUGGUUCAGCAGUAGAAUUCUCGCCUUGCAUGUGGGUAUCAUGAGCUCGAAUCUCAUCAAUGUG
rnacentral:tRNA from 1 species